UACUGCCUGCCCAGUGAUAGUAAUUCAACGGCCGCGGUAUCCUAACCGUGCAAAGGUAGCAUAAUCAUUUGUCUUUUAAAUAAAGACUUGUAUGAACGGCAAAACGAAGGCUUAACUGUCUCCUUUAUCCAAUCAAUGAAACUGAUCCACCCGUACAAAAGCGGGAAUAAAACUACAAGACGAGAAGACCCCAUGGAGCUUAAAACACACACUCAACUACCAAAUAUUCCCCUAGUUAUGACGUGUUGUUUUUGGUUGGGGCGACCAUGGAGAACCUCUCACCCUCCAAGACAAUACUAAUAUUUUAGCCGGCCUAGAAAAACAACACAAAGCACUAGAAGCUCUAACAUUUGACCCAAACUUUGAUCAACGAACCAAGUUACCCUGGGGAUAACAGCGCAAUCCUCUCAAAGAGCCCAUAUCGCCGAGAGGGUUUACGACCUCGAUGUUGGAUCAGGAUAUCCAAACAGUGCAGAAGCCGUUAAGGGUUCGUUUGUUCAACGAUUAAUAAUCCU
rnacentral:rRNA from 1 species